rnacentral:rRNA from 1 species
AACGAACGCUGGCGGCAUGCCUAACACAUGCAAGUCGAACGGAACCUUCGGGUCUAUGUGCGCACGUGGGCUUAAGACGGGGGAACCUGCCCUUAAGUUCCGUAUAACUCCCCUAAAGGGGUGCUAAUACCGGAUAAUGUCUUCGGACCAAAGAUUUAUCGCCUUUGGCUGGGCCCUCGUUGGAUUCGGUGGUUGGUAGGGUAAAAGCCUACCAAGGCGACGAUGCAUGGCUGGUCGGAGAGGAGGCUCAGCCACACUAGGAAUGAGACACGGACUAGAAUGGUAGGCAAGGCAGCAGUAGAGAAUAUUGGACGCUGGGCGAAGGCCUGACCCAGCAACGCGGGGGGAGUGAUGAAGGGGUUAGGGUUGUACAGCCCUCUUAGCCGGGACGAUAAUGACAGUACUGGGAGAAUAAGCACCGGCUAACUACGUG